rnacentral:rRNA from 1 species
UCACCAGUGAGUGGCGGACGGGUGAGUAACACGUAGGUAACCUGCCCCGGAGCGGGGGAUAACAUUCUGGAAACAGAUGCUAAUACCGCAUAACAACAAAAGCCACAUGGCUUUUGUUUGAAAGAUGGCCUUGGCUAUCACUCUGGGAUGGACCUGCGGUGCAUUAGCUAGUUGGUAAGGUAACGGCUUACCAAGGCGAUGAUGCAUAGCCGAGUUGAGAGACUGAUCGGCCACAAUGGAACUGAGACACGGUCCAUACUCCUACGGGAGGCAGCAGUAGGGAAUCUUCCACAAUUGGCGCAAGCCUGAUGGAGCAACACCGCGUGAGUGAAGAAGGGUUUCGGCUCGUAAAGCUCUGUUGUUGGAGAAGAACGUGCGUGAGAGUAACUGUUCACGCAGUGACGGUAUCCAACCAGAAAGUCACGGCUAACUACGUGCCAGCAGCCGCGGUAAUACGUAGGUGGCAAGCGUUAUCCGGAUUUAUUGGGCGUAAAGCGAGCGCAGGCGGUUGCUUAGGUCUGAUGUGAAAGCCUUCGGCUUAACCGAAGAAGUGCAUCGGAAACCGGGCGACUUGAGUGCAGAAGAGGACAGUGGAACUCCAUGUGUAGCGGUGGAAUGCGUAGAUAUAUGGAAGAACACCAGUGGCGAAGGCGGCUGUCUGGUCUGCAACUGACGCUGAGGCUCGAAAGCAUGGGUAGCGAACAGGAUUAGAUACCCUGGUAGUCCAUACCGUAAACGAUGAGUGCUAGGUGUUGGGAGGUUUCCGCCUCUCAGUGCUGCAGCUAACGCAUUAAGCACUCCGCCUGGGGAGUACGACCGCAAGGUUGAAACUCAAAGGAAUUGACGGGGGCCCGCACAAGCGGUGGAGCAUGUGGUUUAAUUCGAAGCAACGCGAAGAACCUUACCAGGUCUUGACAUCCAGUGCAAACCUAAGAGAUUAGGUGUUCCCUUCGGGGACGCUGAGACAGGUGGUGCAUGGCUGUCGUCAGCUCGUGUCGUGAGAUGUUGGGUUAAGUCCCGCAACGAGCGCAACCCUUGUCAUUAGUUGCCAUCAUUAAGUUGGGCACUCUAAUGAGACUGCCGGUGACAAACCGGAGGAAGGUGGGGAUGACGUCAAGUCAUCAUGCCCCUUAUGACCUGGGCUACACACGUGCUACAAUGGACGGUACAACGAGAAGCGAACCUGCGAAGGCAAGCGGAUCUCUUAAAGCCGUUCUCAGUUCGGACUGUAGGCUGCAACUCGCCUACACGAAGCUGGAAUCGCUAGUAAUCGCGGAUCAGCACGCCGCGGUGAAUACGUUCCCGGGCCUUGUACACACCGCCCGUCA